UCCAGUAGAAAUUAUCUGGAGGGUUUAGA
rnacentral:piRNA from 1 species